ensembl:lncRNA
GUCAGGUUACUAUUACAAAAUAAAAAAUAAGCUUUGUAAAUACUGUAUUUGUACCUGCUAAUCAAACCUGAAACAUGUCUGGACAUGUUCAGUGAAGAUAUGAAUUUGGCUCUGUAGAAUCACUUCCUUUUCCUCCCUUUCCUUUUUUAGGUCCGUGGAGAAGCCAACUGCCAAAUCAACUGCAGCAGACUCCUGGAUCCAGAAGAUAAUCUCACACCCACUGUGAACUCCACCAUGAUCUGCAUCACUGAGAGUCUGUGUCUGUCCUUUGUUGUCAUCGGUUUUAUUGUUAUUAUUGUUGUUGUGGCUCUUUGGUGUUACAAGAAAUGGAGAGCGAGAGGAUCUGGGACAACGGGAGUUUUUUACACUCAACCAUGUGAACAGGUGGUAGUCAACAUAAAGACCCCCGUAGGAGACGAUGUGGUGCAAAACCACAUCGUCUGAACAAGGAAGAAGGAAAGUGUCAAUGUUCUCGAUAAUGUUUUUUUAAGUCCUCAUCAUCAGUGCCUUAUUGACAAACGAUGAAAUAAGAUAAGAAAACUGCAGAUAGAAAACUAUUAAUAUUAUAUUAUAUCAUGUAUUAUAACUAGUUAUAUAGAGGGGAGGAAUAUAAGUAUUAAGAUAUGUCAUAUGACGGUGUUUAAACUUGUUCGGGAAGGUUAACUGUAACUGUCCAUCAGCUCACCUGACGGUAAAACCACAUGAUGUGGUGCCUUUCUGAUCAAUUGUGAUAUUGAUCUUCGCUGUGGAAGUGGAGAUUAAUUCAUUAUAACUUUAUAAUACGUUUGUACACAGUUGACAUGUUGUAUCUCAGGGAUCUUGGACUCCUGCUUUGUCUUAUGUGAGAAACCUGGAGGCCGUUUCAAAUAAAUACCAAAUAAAACCAGAACUAAGAGUUUAAAACGGCCGGAAAGCUGCGUGGAGCAGCAAAGUUAUAAGAUGUUCAUUAUGAGUGAAUGAUUUUAGAAUAAAGGCUCAUUUGAUGUUUUCAUAAUUCUGAUUAAUGCACAUGUAAAGACAAUGAAUAGUUUAGAUUAUUAUGAAAUUUGCUUUGCUUUUAAACUAUUUGGGGUGGUAUAAACUAAUGAUUCUAUGCAUUUGUUGUGUGUAUUUUCUGUUCAGUAUAUUGAACCUGAUUGGAAAGGUUAAAAGUGGGGCGUGGGGAACAUGUUUUAUUUGGCUCUGUAUACAAAUCAGAGUUUGGGGUUAUGAAAUAAUGCUGUUCAGAGAUGAUGUGUGUGGCUUAUAUGAGUGCUUCCUGCUGAAUAAAUCAUUAAAAAAAACACACCUCCAUUGUAUCUUCAGAUCGAGUGAGUUGCUCUCUGAAGGGUUUAUGAUUUUUUUUCUGAAUGCAAAAUAAAUGUAAUGUGGUGC